rnacentral:tRNA from 1 species
GCGGGUGUAGCUCAGUUGGUUGUCCGCCUAGGCGGAUCCCAAGCUGAAGGUUCCCGAUUUUUUUCGGGACAAGCUGUGAGUUCGAGACUCAUUACCCGCU